rnacentral:lncRNA from 1 species
UUUAGAAGAAGGCCAAAAGGAGGCCUGCUUUAGAUACCUUAAUACAGUCGAGUAUUUUCAGAUAUGGCAAACAAAAUCCAAGCUCUUGUAUUUGGUUAAGUGACCCCCUACACAUAUCUGAACAAGACAUCAUUGCCUUGGGUUUGUGUCAAAUCUUUUAUUCAUUUUAAAGACAAAAAGAGCCCAUGUAAUUUGCUGCUAACUCUAAUUUAUUUUUGUCUCUGUCUGAACCAUUUGUCCAAUGUCAAUCCAUUGAGAAUUGCUUCAUGCUUUAGAAGGUAGUAAAUAUAAAGUACAAAAAGUGGAACCAGUCAAUCGCAGAUAGGAUUAAUGCAGAAACAUUGUCCAAGCCCCAUGUGCGUGCGUGAUUGCGAAAUUUAAUUAAGGGACAAAAUACACGGGCAUUGACAGGCAAAUCUUGUGUGCAUGCAAUAAUAUGUAGUAUUGAAUUGAGCUUUAUAAAUCAUAUCUUUUUUAUUACAGGCCGGAAAUUCAAAGUAAA